rnacentral:rRNA from 1 species
UACAGAGGUCUCAAGCGUUGUUCGGAUUCAUUGGGCGUAAAGAGCUCGUAGGCGGCUUGUCGCGUCGGCUGUGAAAACCUGGGGCUCAACCCCGGGCCCUGCAGCCGAUACGGGCAAGCUAGAAUUCGGUAGGGGAGACUGGAAUUCCUGGUGUAGCGGUGAAAUGCGCAGAUAUCAGGAGGAACACCGGUGGCGAAGGCGGGUCUCUGGGCCGAAAUUGACGCUGAGGAGCGAAAGCGUGGGGAGCAAACAGG